CUAGCAAAUGCCACAUCUGAAAUCAUUUGGGUGCAGUCCAUGCUCAAGGAACUUGUUGUGAAAAGUAAGCAAGCUCCAUGCCUAUGGUGUGACAACCUUGGUGCUACCUAUCUGUCUGCAAACCCUGUGUUUCAUGCAAGAACAAAACAUAUUGAAAUAGAUUUUCACUUUGUCCGAGAAAGGGUUGCUCAAAGGCAACUUGACAUUCGGUUUGUGCACUCCGGAGAUCAGAUUGCAGAUGAAUUCACUAAACCAUUGCCAAGGAGUUUUGAAGCUUUCAAACAUAAUCUCAACUUGAUGAAGUUGUGA
rnacentral:rRNA from 1 species